AGCUGUUAUGGUUCUCAGUGGACAAUAUAUUAGUACACUCAGCUGGCCAUUUGAACAUGGGACUUGCUGUUGAGCUUUCUCCAGUAGAAUCUGAAUUAAUGGGGCAAUAGGAUCAGGUAAGGAUCAUACAGGGAAAAUUCAGUUCAUUCUUCUGUCAGUCCUAGAGCUGUCUAGGGGAUUCCCUCCAGGAAUGUAAAAACUGGUAAUGUCACAUGCUUCAUGUACAGCCUGUUGAUGGUAAAGUGCCUUGUUGAGACCACUGUAAGCUGGGGAUUUGUGGUAUUCUUGCUGCUUGGGUCUAGUCUAAGCACAAAAAUUCAGUAGGAAGUCUUUGGUGCAGUAAAUGAGAACAUUGGCUAGACUGAGUUUUAUUGUUAUUGUAAUUAAGCUCCUCUGCUGCUGUCAUGGUGUAAAUUUCAUUUAUGCUCAGAGCGUCUUUAUGCAGUCAGAGUGUUUAGGAUAAAUGAGCACUAUUUGCUGUAAAUCUGACACCAGGUUGAUGGGUGGGCUGUUUUUUUGGUGUAAGCUUCUCCAUCCACCAGUGCAAGCUGAAGCAGUAGCCUUUGAUAUAUACAUCCAAACUGGUUCUGGCUUAGUCCCUGCCAGAUUCAACAGUGCUGCUCAGAUCUGAUGAGAGCCUAUUGACUGCAAUGCAACUGUUAUCUUAGUACAGGAAGCACAUUAAAAAUGAUUUAGGAUCCUCUGCAACAAACAGAUUGGGUAUGAUGCAGCAGCUAACUGGCUUCUUGAAGCAAAGUAUUUAACAUCCUUCCCAUGUGCUUUGUAUUGGCCUUACUUGUUUACCUCAACAGUAUAACUCUUAUCUUCUUACUUCCAGGUAAGGUAAGUCAAUCAAAGAAAUGUAUCUGGGACGUGGAAGGGAAUUUUACCCUCCCUUAUGGAUCAGCCCCUCACUUACAAAUAACAACCUUUAUAUUGUUCUGUGUGAUUUUAGUUUGCCUAGGAAAUGCAACAUUUUAAGCUGUUGUUUCUUACCCUUUCAGAUUGCCUUUAUAGAAUGUUUUAACCUAGUCUUAGAAAUCGCUGUUUGGAAUUAGCAAGGCAGAAGAUGUCAUGCAACAUGUGAGAUGAUUUCAUUAAUCUGUCUGCUGAGCUGAUAGCCAUUUUGGUUGAGCAGAGUUAAUCCUAUUACUAGACUUCACUGUCUGUAUGAACAUCUAUAAAGAGUAAACAUGCUUUGAAAGAAACUAUAUUUUCUAGGAUGAAGGGGAAAGUAUGUGUGGGAUCUCCAACAUUCAUGAGUUCACCUGCUGCAUUAAUUAAUGAAGUUCUUAGGUAAUAGAGUGGAGCGAAACAUUAUGCAGAAGGCAAAGGAGGUUAGUGCUGGAAAGGGGGUAAAAUAUUACAAUUAGAUAAAGUCAGCAAAUCUUGCACAUCUGGUCUCUCUUUGUCAUUUCCACAGUGAGUGUUUUCAUGUGUUUAUCUUGACAUAAAUAACUAAAGCAGAAUCCCUAUUAAGUAAUUUAAAUUGAAAAAAAAACCCACUGAGUUUUCUGUUAGUUGAGUUUGAAAUUUGUAGUUUAUAAUUUCUGAUUUGUGUCUAGGCAAUUUUUAAUCCACUUUUCUCUAUUAAAAAACUCUUUCUGUUUUUCUGCAUUCUACAGUCUUACCACAGACUUUCUAUGUACUUAUUCUGGCUUAUGCAUUGUUGCUGACAAUUCACACUUAGGAUACAAACUGGUCAGGUCCAUUGCUGUUCCUCUAAAGGUAUGAGGGCUAGACAGUGCAAAGCAAAAUAGGUACACUUUUUCUUUUGGUCAUGUUAUUUCAAUAGAAGUUCACAAGCAUAUGAUGUCCAUGACUCAAUGUUAUGUUCAUAGCUAUACUGGUUUUUCUGUGUUAGUAUUAGCAUUAAGAGUUUUGGGAUUUCUUUUCUCCCCAUUUUCUCCUUAGUAGAAAACCUCAGCAAUGUACAAUCUUAGAAGAGAUUUUCCUGGGUAGAUCAUCACCAUUUGAAAUAAUCACUUUUCAGGAUGUAACUUCAGGCUAGAAGAAGUUUUUGUCUUUAAUGGUUUCAGUAAGUAUCCAAAAUGGAUUUGUGUCUACCAUUUGAACAUCUGACAGCUCAUGUAAGAGGGGAGAAAGGUACAAAAAGAUGAUCAAUGUUUAGUGGUUCACAGAGUGUCUUGUACCACAGGAGGAGGGAUUCUUCUGGUACCAAGGGACAAACUCCACAUUUCGAAGUGCGAGCAAGACCUUGUGGUUUUUCUGAAUUGAUGUAAUUGCAGAUACAUUAACCAUUAAUCUACCUUCUCCUUUUCUCAGUCUUCUGAGAUGUACUGACCAUUUUUCAGUACCGAGUUAUGCUAAAACAUUUUGAAAUAAAGUACUUGGCAAGAACAAUUUUUAUUUCCUGUGAACAAGAUAAGAGCUGCAAGCACAUGAGAACACAAAUAAUUGUGUUAACACACAAGUGCUAUGUUAGAGCACCAGCAAUAUGAUAAUUUACAUCUUUUUGUGACUUUACAGUCUGUUGUUUCAUCUUAGUGGCAUUGCUAUAAAAUUGUGUGUGAGAGGAGUGUGUACAUUUCAGACAAAUCGGAUGCAUGAACCUGCUUGUGAACUUCAGUGACAUGGCUCUUGGGUAUGUGAGUAUCUACAUAACAUCCUUUUACAAGGUUCUCUACCCAGGCAGCAGUGCCCUGCAGCAGCCCAACUCUUUAAGCAGUAAGCCAGAAAUGCUGGAAAACUGAAUGUCUGAAAUUAGGCCUGUGCCUCACACCUCCCUCUUCUUGAAUUCUCCACAGCUGCAUACAACUCUUCUUAGACUAGAAGUGACUUCUGGAUCUUUCAGAAGACUGGAAAUACGCACUUCCCAGUGAAACUGCACUGUUGUGAAGCUGCAAGUUAACACUUUGACCAGUGACAGUUUUAUAUGCAGAAAUCUGCCACUGAAGGGAGAUUGCCUGAAAUUUAGGCCAACCAAAAUUAAAAGGAAAUCUGUCUCCGGGUGGGAAUUUGAGCCUAAGGGAAAAUACUUACAUAGCAGGCUGACUCUUUUUUUUUUUUUUUCCUUUGAAGCUGUUCUUAUGGUUUAGAGUGUUAUGGUAAGUCCUGGUAGAGUGCCUAGUGGGCAACAGUAGAGACAGAGAUAUGUGGUAUUUAUUGUCCUUCCCUGAAAUGUAAUAUAUGGGUGUCAGCUCCAACAAAACAGCAAAGGCGUAUAGACAACAAAGAAAUAAGAUAGGCUGCUGAAAGAGGUGCAGUGUUCUUGGGAAACUAUUCAGUGCACAGACAAUUAUUGUGGCACUCAUUUCUUUGCAUUGUUAUGUAUCAUUCUCUUCUGUUUGUUUUUUUUUUUUUUUUUAAGAUCAUGAAAAGAUGCAUACAUGUUUCUUUUUCUUCCUUUUUUAUAGGUGUCACAUUACAAAUAAGUAACUGGUCACUGAUAAAAGAAAGAAGAGAAUUUAACAAAACUGGCUAGAGGCCACCUCAGAUUUUCUGCCCUGGCCUGUCAUUGGGGAGUUUGUUAUUAAUCAUGUGCCUACAGUUACUCUCUUUGAAACUUCAUUAGAUGUAAUGUCCUGAUUUCAGUGCAGUAAUGAAGGUAUAAUUGCUAAUUGUAAGUGAAAUCUACUUUGUGUUAAUGUUUUACUUUGAACCAAUGCCUUCCCGCUUCUGUUGUGUUCCUUGAAACCCAGCUAAUAAGUUAUGCUGAUCUGUAGAACUUCCAAUUUUAACUUUGGUGUGCAGUCUUUGGUCUCCCAGCAGUGACAGUGUUUAUUUAAACAAGCCUGAGUGUACCUGCUUAACAAAAUCCUGAGCCAAAUUAAUCAUGGCAGUGUCUGUAAUCACAUCACUAUAGCGAUCUGGUUUCCCAGCACCAGGAAUACAGCACACUGAAACUCUAGUGAUCAUCAUGGCUGGGAUACAGCUAGUGCUGUAGCCAGCUUGAGCUUUGUGAACUUGGCAGUUGCUGUUGAGGGAACCUAUCCUGGAAAUGGGAUUUCUAAAGAGGAGAGAAUUCCCAAGGACCAGUGGUUUUCCUGCUGUAGUAAAUUAGCAUAAAACCCACAUGAAGGCCAGAAGGACCUAAGACAUUUGUGUCAGAUUUCCUGAAUGCUUGUCCAGUGUCUCAGAGACUAAGCUGAGGCUAGUUUUCUGUAGCAUUUGGGCAGUGGAUAAUCUUUGGGAUUUCUGCAUAAUGUAGACAUUAACAAAGUUCACCUGUCUUUGAUUAAUCUGGUUUUAAAGAAGUGCAAAGCAGCCACAGCACCUCUUAGUUUCAGGAUAAACUACAAAGAUUCAAAUUUUAAAAACAAAGCUGUGUAAGUGUGAGGCUUGGAAGCUUGGGUAGUUUUGGUUUAUUUUUUUUCCCCUUUAUCAUCCUACUUAAUGGACAACAUCGCUUGGCUUUGCUGAUUAUUGGGGGUUGAAACUAGAUGAUCUUUGAGGUCCCUUCCAACCCAAGUAAUUCUCUGAUUCUAUGAUAAUUUUAAAACUUUGUGUAUGGUACCCCUUAAGAUUAAUAUAAAUGGCCUUACAUGUGUGAGACUGAAGGUCCAUCAAGCCCAGUUUUGUCCCAGCUGUGGCCAUAAGCCUAGGAAAGACCACAAGCAAGUCAAGAUAUAAAAUGCUUGAGUAUUUUCCUUGUCUCUAGUUAUUUUUCGGAAAUAAAUGUCACUUUAACAUAUUUAGUAAUUCUUACUACAUUUUUCUUUCAUGAACUUGAACCUUCUGGUGGAAACAUUUAGCAUCUUCUGGAAAUGGAUUCCAUAUGUCAUCUAGUACCAAGCGUCCUGCCACCACAGUGAGCUUCACAGCCUUCCUAGCCUUCCUCCCAUUAUCCUCUGGGGUGACUUUGGUCCUGAAGACCUUUGCAGCCACAGCUAGUCUCCCUAUCCCAGUUUAGUCACUCAGCAGAAGCUGGGAAAGCAAAGCAGAGCUUUAGGCCACACAAGGCCAACAAGAUUUUGUUUGUUUAUAGGUGAGCUACAGACAAGUAGCUCACCUACAGUGGCUUCAGUUUAUUUUCAACAAAGCAAGAGCUUAUUAGGUCAGCUAAUCCACUUCCUAGCAGCUCAUUGAGCAUAUUGAGCUGUAACUGUUCUGGUGUUAAAACACAGAGGCUGUAUCCUGCUCAGGUUACAUGGUGGGUGGAGGACCUGCCACCAACUUUAAGGGUGAGGAGCCAUGCCUGAAGCAGUCAGCUAGUUGUUAUCCUGUUAAAAAACCCUUUCUACCUUGAAAUAGCUUUUUACUUACCUUCUUUAUCCUCCUGUCCCUUCUUUAUCCCCUCAAACCAUCCUGAGACAUAUUUUUUUCUCCUGACAUUCAUCUUUUUUGGUAACAUUUCAUACCCUCGGUUAUGGGAUUUAUCAUCUGUAUUUUUGGCUUUUCAGCUUCUCCAGAGGGAUUGAGCAUCUGCAUCGCUCAUGAUUCACGUCCACUGUCUCCAUGUCCUACUAGUUUUAGUACUCAGUUUUUAGUCAGUUUUAAUCAGCUAGUGAUGUUGCCAGAAUUUUAUACAUUAGUGAAGUGUGAUUAGCAGCUCUGGAAAGCACCAAGCUUCAUAAUUUAAAAUGCUACAGUUAAAAUUAUAUUUGUACACAUAGUUGCCUUUUGAAGUGGGGCAGUGGGUAGCAGUUUACCAUACUUGUGUAUUUUUAGGUUAACAGCUGCUCUCUGAGUGCCUUCCAUUGUCAGUGGGAGCCACUUCCUUGCACAGGGGCAGGACAGCGCUGCCCCACUGAUCCCAGCGAAGCCGCAGCACUGCCUGGGUAGAGCUGCUUGGGACAGUGACAAGAGGAUUGUGGUAACUUGCUGCUGGUGGUGAAGCGUGGUGCAGAAAGAGGGAACCACUGCCUUGCCAAAAGCAGUGAAUGGUGGCGUCCUUCCUCUGUGGGAGGGAGAAUGUCCCACAGAGUUUUCCCAAAUGGAACCCGUUGGGUCACCAUUGGAGUUGGGCUCCUGCCUGGGUAUGAAAUUCUCAGCUUUCACUGAGCUUGCCCGAUUUUCCUUCUUCAGCCUCUGCAUCUACUGCUGGUAGCAGUGUGAUGUUCUUUAUUGAGAUCAUAAUUUUCAUGUCCUCACCCAUGGUUUUAGUGUCUUUACAUGUGGACCAAAUCUGCACAGACUUCCUCUCCUUCUGAUGGUAAGAUCAAAGGCAGGGUGUUUUUGGAGCAUCUUUUAUCUCGCCUGUGUUACAGGAAAAGCCAGGGAUGCCCACUUUGAACUCCUACCACAUGCCAAAGCACAGCCAUUGAGUCAUUGAGAUCAUAGUUCUCAAUAAACUCUUAAGAAAUUACUUUGCUAAAGUGAUUUCUUAAAAUUUUUAGAGGACUAUUAUGCAUUUUUAUAACAUUUUUUGUUUCACAUUUGAAUAUUUUGAGAUCAUAUGUUUUAAUUGCAGACAUCACUAGGAAAAUUCUCCUAUUUAAAAUCUACUUCUACUUUAUCUAAAAGCUUGAUGUUUCUUCUCCCCCACCACCCAUGAAAGUAAGCGUCAAUAGCAUUUAAAUACGUUUUUGCAAUGCAGAUAUUUCAAAACAUCAGGGAGAUUGCUUCUGGUGGAUAAUCUCUUGAGGUUCUUAAAUAUUCAGGUUCUUCUAAAAUGAAGCAAUCCACUGGGUUUUGUGCUCUUUCAAACACAGACUUACUCAGUUUAGCUCACCAUUUAACCUUCACAAUUUUUUCAGUAAGUGAAUCCAGGUUUGUUAAUCAGUAAAAAUGUGGGAAAAACUAAAUACUAAAUCAGGACUUGAUAAUUCUGAAAGUAAAAUAACUAUUACUUGAAAACAGCUUUUUAUUAUUAAGUUGCUUUACAGAGGUUAGGUUAAACAGAUGUUCACAGAUUUUGGUGGAUUAGCUGAAUGUCAGAGUCAUUGUCAGAGCCACAGGUGCAGCCUAUUUCCUUAUGACAUUAUUUUCAGUCUCUGAGUCCUUUUCUGCUCUGUUUGCUUACCUGUUUAUUAACAAAGAGUGAAAAAAACAUGGUCUUAGAGUAGUGAUACUUCUAGAGCUAAUUGAAGUACUGGGAUUAAGAGACUUCAGGAGAAUGCCAGAACUUGAAAAUGGUGCUGGGAGAUGAUGAUUCACUCAAACAAACACAGAACCUUCCUUGGACAAACUGUUGAGAGAAAGAAAUGUCUGGGGGUUAGUGAAGACUGGCCGUGUGCUUAGGAGGGAGAGUGCUUUUGGCAGGGACCCAAAAAGGUGUCUGCCACAACAGCUGCAUGCUUGCAGGUUGGCUGCUGGUAGUUUACAAGGCUGUAAUGGGCAUCUUCAGGCAAUUUAGACCGGCCCUGAUGUUAAAGAAAGGGUCCUUCUUCCUGUGGGUUGUACUCAUCCACUGCUGCCCUACCUUCAGCUCCAGAGACGGUGUGACUCACUUGUCCAUGAACCCAGUGGAGCAAAUGAAGGUUAUUUCUCAGGUAGAUCAUGCGCUGUCUUCUCGUGUGUUGCUCAUAGAGCCUGUGUCCCUCAUGGGUUUUCAUCUGCUUUAGAAGAGUCAGAACAGACCUUUUUAGGUUUAAUAGUGUCCAUGCAGUUUUUGAAGUCUCAUUCUUAGGGGUCAAGGGCUGAUCAAACAUCCUUCUGCAGAGCUUCAGUAUUACUUAUUGCUCCUCUAGGUAUUCAGUGAUUAUGUUGUCCCUUUUUAAUCCAUGGCACUGUUGGGAUCCCUUUCAGUAAUCUUUCGUUUUACAUCAUGGCUUAGUUGAUUUGCCUAUUUUACUUGGAUUUACUUUCUGGUAAUUAAUUGGAAAUUUUUGUUGAUUCGUAAGUUAACGUAUGCCAUGUUUUAAGAAGAAAACAACAAAAAGUCAUCUUAAGAAGGUUUACUCUUUCUACUUAUGUUAGCUAAUAUAUCUGAGGACCAUUAUAUACUCCUGCUGGCCUCUGUGUGCAUUUCACAGAUGUUUUUAUUAUAGAGGGUCCGGCUGGGAAAUUGCCCCUAUGCAGCUAUGGGGUGUGUUUUUGGGGGGGCUGAGGCUGUUUGAAUAAUUAUGCAUCUGCAGAGUAUCCCAGUUCACACUGAUAUAGCAGUACAUCGUUAUUAAAAUGCUGAAAAAGCAUCUUCAUCUAGUGCACCAUAAAGGUUUUAGGAGAAAUUCCACUCACCUGUAGAAUAGUUAUGGAUCUCAUGGGAGGUGUAUUAUCCUUGCUUGGUGUCUAUAUAUUUUCUGUCCAAACAAUCAAUUUAUGUUGGUGGAGGAAAAAAAAAAAGAGUGAAGAGAAGUUAAUUCUUUAUCUACAAGCACACUCUUUCCUUAAAAAGUUAUUUAAUGAAAUACCUGUCACUCUUCUGCAAGGACAUAAUUUGGUGUAUCUUAUAGUUGGGUCUGGCAGGUGGAAUGAAGAGCUGUUGGGGAUUCACACUACACUGUGGAAAUCCAAAGGAAUUCUGGGAAGCAGAAAGCUUUCCCAGACCACUUUUGCUUCUUGCUUAGGAUGUGAGAAGCCAAAAUGUAAACACAAAUGAAUAUUGGUUAGGCAAUCUGCUUGGAAGAUAAAAGAAGGUUCCUAAUCUUUGCAUAUCCUGUGAUUUCCUUCCAAGACUAACCAGGUCAGAGAAAGAUUUUUUCUUUUCAGUUAGAGCUUCUGUUUAUUGCCCAUGGUCUCUUGCAAUUGUAGGCUGUUUUGAGAAGUUAAAGAGAAUGCAGGAGUGGAUGGAGACAAGUGGGCAAAGCAGCUGCUGCUGGGGGAAAAUUGAGGUCUAAUUUCAGGGAAAGCACCUUAAUGUCCCAGCCAAAUCCAGGACAAAUUAACACUGAGAGAAGAGCUCUCAAAAAGUAAUGAGAAUAGAUCUUAGGAGCCAAAGAAGUGCUAACUUUGGGGGUCAGGUGCAUUGGGAAUGGCUGUUGCACAGAUGGGGGGAAUCAUGUGGAGGCACUGAGACUGCCUGUUCUUGUUCUAUAUUGAAAGCAUGUACGUGCACAGUCAAUAUCUUGUUGAAUACUUUCAAGUUAAGCAUAACUACUAAUCUUGAAUAUUUAAGAGAUAAUGGCUAUGAAGUGAUAAGCACAUACCUGAAAUUUCCAAACAUUUACAGAGUAUUUUACAUGUCAGGAGUGGUUAAAUAAGGAUUGAUAUUUCCAUUUUGCAAUUACGUGGUGGAGGAAAAGAGUCUAAGCUGGAUGCUUUAUCGUUUGCUAGUGGUUGUAGAAGAAAUCUCUGCCAAACCAUGAGGAGCACAUGAAGCUUCUUGCCAUGUGCCAAAUCCAUUCACUAAACUGUGCUCUGAUUUUCCCUAUUUUUUCCCCUUGAAAACUGAGUAUUGUCAGCUCAUCUGAUGAUACAAGAGUAGGAGGUGUCCAAUGUAAUAACCAAAACAGUAAAAGUAUUAGUAACACUUUGAGAUCAAAACUCCUAAAAGUAACUUGAUAAUGAAGCCUGUUCUUUAUUUUUAUAUAUAAUGAGUUUAUUUAUGGUAACAUAUUUAACUAUGUUGUUCAAGACUGAGAUAUAAUUGAUGAUUUCAAGAGAUACAGUGAUGAUGAAGUCUGUGUUCUACCACAGAAGGAAUGAGGAAUUCAUCUGCCUUAAGACUUCUUGGGGGUUUCCAUGUUAGGAAGUAUUUUGUUUGCUAAAAGACAAAAACUUGGUCAGAAACUUAUUGCAUUGCCAGGCACUUACAUACCUUUAAAAUAUACCCACAAUAGAGUUUCUUUUGAUGCAAGUACAUGCUUAUACUUUUCUGUCAAAGUGAGAGAUGCUGAAGUUAGAGAAUUGAUGUGGUUUUCUUUGCCACUGUAGUCUGUAGUUUGUGAUAUCAUCGCAGUUUAGGUUUGUAUCAGUAUUUUUCUGAGCAUUAUUACAUGUCACCCUUUAGACUAAUACAAGGUGUGGUAAUAUCAAU